rnacentral:pre_miRNA from 1 species
UGGAACAAUCUGUAAAGCUCAGGAGGGAUAGCGCCAUAGAUGGUGAGGAAGGAACUCUGUGUUCUCAUCCAAAUGCGCUAUCUAUCCUGAGCUUCAUGGAUUCUCCCU